rnacentral:lncRNA from 1 species
CUUCUCUCAUGGUCUCUCAAACCCUUACCCUUCGAGACCCCAUCGAUUCUCUCACACGACUACUCCCUCACUGCUGUCUCAUUCCCCUCCACCCAUAACCGCCAUCCCCUCCCCGCCCUCUCAAAACCCAAAGUCCUCUCUUUCUCCCCAUACCAAAAACGCUCAAAAUCAAGAAUCUCGGCCUCAGUUUCAGCUCCACUUGCAAACCCAGAAAUAAAAUCUCCCAAAAUCCAAAACCCAUCUCAAGAUUUUCUCUCCGAGUCGACUCGAACACUCACUACUCUCUUGGCCACGGCCCUAAUAGCCUCAAAAUUCUUGGCUGGCGGAAUCCUAAGCUUGGCCGUGCAUUCUUCGCAGCAAUGAAGGAUGUUCCUGCUACGUCGUUGAACACGCUAUUCACAGUUGUGGCGGCCGGAAUGGCGAAAUGGCUGGACAUUUACAUUGGGCUUCUAAUGGUUAGAGUUUUGCUGAGCUGUUUUCCCAAUACUCCCUGGGACAGGCAGCCGCUAUCAGUAAUUCGAGACCUAUUUCAAGAAUAUAAUCCCUCCAUUGUUUAUUGUUCUUUGAGUGCGAAUUUGGUUUCUAAGGUUGUGAUUUAUAUUUUAAUAGACUACUUAAUUUUCAUCAUUACUAUAAUUUUUAUUUAUUCACGAAGUAUUGGUAUAAACAAAAUCCUUUAGUUAGAUGUUCUGCUUUGCUGAUUUAUUUAAUAGACGUAAUGCUAGAAAUAUCUAAUUUACUUUUGCUUUAUACUACACGAGUUUGUGCCUCAAAGAUCAAAUGUUUAUCUUGUUUAUAGUAAUUUUUUUUGACUGAUUUAAAUUUGUGUUUUUCUCUUGAAUAUUGAAUCUUUUAUGGUAGUUGUGAAUUAUUAUUAUUUUUUACAGCGACGCUGAUUUAAUGGGUCAUUUAUCAAAAAAUUUAUUCCUUUUUUCAAAAGCCUUACAAGGAUAGAGGAUCUACCAAAGGCUAUUGGUAAAAGGAAUCCGUUAUCUUCUACACAGUAGUAUAUAUGAUGAUAUGUCUUGUUGUCAUUGCCCAAAAGUUCUUGCUUCAAGUUAACUUGAUUUGGGGGGAGCAGAGAAAAGUUGUGGAAUUGUGAGUUAUAUGUUCUGUGUGAGUUAUAUUAAAAAAAUGAAUAAGUAUAUAAGAUUAGUUCGAAACUUCAUCUUCCUCUAGGUAUAUUUUGUUCCAUGAAUGUGGUCAUCAAGGAAUUUUACACUGUUGAAUAGUUGCAGAUUAGAAAUUUUACCAUGACCAGUUAAUGUUUUGACCAUGACUAAUAUUCUUAUUUAUAAUUUUUUGGGUAAUGAACUUCUCUUUGACUCAUUUCCAUACAAGGAAAUCGAAAAUGGAAUUCUCUAGGAAGUUGAGGGAAAGGUAAAGGUCUAUACUUAUUUCAUUAGAUUUAGUUAUUGUUUCAUUGUUAUGUCCAUAGACUUGGUAAACAAUUUUCAAUUUGCUUUAUUUACUAAUUGCUUGCUUGUUUGGAUUAUACUAGGAGGUAUUGUAUACUCGUAUUAUUAUAUCUCCUUUGCAACAUUUUUACACCAUAAUUUUUGUAGUGGAACACAAUAGGUUGUCCAGGAAGUAGUUGAUGUAGACAUUGGUGCCUUAUGCUAAAGGAAUUUAUGAGGAAGAGGGUGUUGAUAAUGUGGCUGUCAAAGUCGUUGACAUUGUUGACACGUUCACGCUCCAAGUUAUUUUAUGCAUAAUGUGUAUUAUAUGACUGAAUUCUAUUUGCAGAAUUUAAUGUUUUUUAACCUGGUUAUUAAAUACAGGAGCAACCCCCUUUUGACAAGAAGCAAUUUGUUGCGUACAUGAAGAAGUAUAUCGAGCUGUUAACACCAAAGCUCAAUGCAGAGAAGCAAGCACAGUUGGAGAAGGGUAUUGAAGGGGCGACUAACUUUCUGCUCUCAAAGCUUAGUGACCUCCAAUUGUAAGUUUAACAUAGCGUUCUUUUAACAUGUUUGGUAAAUAGGUGAUAAUACCACUGAAAGUAUUGAGUAGAUGAUGACAAAAUCUUAAUUUAUUAUACUAAUCGUGAGGGCUCGUAUUGAUAGCUUCUACAUUGAAGUAUUUCCUUAGUUGGCUUUCUUUGAAACCUCUUUUAAGCAUCAAAUAAAGUGUUGUCAAAAAAUUAUCCACAUAGAUCCAAAAAAAAAUCUUUUAGUUUUAAAAUCUACUUUAGGUUUUCAAGAAGCAAUAUUAAAAGGUCUCUGUUUUGGCCAACCAUAUGCUAACACUUACAUAUUUCCAAAUAUAUAUUUAACAUUAUCUUGCAAUUACAUAGAGAGAUGCACACCUCCCAUUUGAGCAUCAUUUCUUUAUCAAUAGAAAAGGUUUGGAAAUCCACACACACACACACACAUAUAGUAAUUAUUUGUGGGCAAUAUGGUGUUCUUUUGGUUCUUGGAUCUUUAGUUAUGUAAAUUUUUGUUUUUUAUCUUUAAUUUUUUUAAUUAAUAAUAGCAUUCAUUGUAGGAGGAGAUUAAUGACGGUGGUCGUUACACGAAUGGUAAUCCUGUUCCAUUGGUGAUGAAGGGUGGUGGCUGGUUGUUUUUGAUCUACGAUGUAAUGGAUAGUGAUUUUGGAUCUUGAGGUGAAGGUAGGUAUUAAAUAGAUAGAGAAAAGGAGAGGGUAAAGCCUAAAAUGGGAACUUUAAUAAUUAUUUUUCGGGUGAUUUAUGCAUAUGUGGUAAACUGGAAAUGAUACCAUGAAUAUAUUUUUAAGAUUUCCUGGUUGCUUUCUAUUUAGCUAUUUUAGGAUUUAUCUAUUCCAUUCAUUUAACUUUAAUUUGAAUAUUGCAAAAAUAGAUCCAAGUCACCAGCAAGAACAGAAAGGGAGAGAGGAUAGGAUAUGCAUGUAUAUGCAAGUGUUUUCAUUUCAGGUUUAAGCCAAGAUCGUGGGAUACCUACUCCAAAUUGGGAUGUUUUUGCUGAUAUCGGUGCUGUUGGAAGGGUGACCAGAGCUCAUGUAGUUCCUAGAAUAGUAGAGCGGUUAACUUUUAGAGGCUUUAAAUGAAGAAGUUGAAUGUAAGUGAUUAAGUCCUUUCAUUUGGUUUGUUCUUCGAGAUAUUUAUUUUUAAAAUUUUUGAUUACACAAGAAUUAAUUGCUUUCCACACAGAAGACCAAAAUUGUGCGAACUAAAUUCUUUUAUGUUUUAUAGUUUUUUUACUCAGUUUUACAUGAAAACUGCUUGCCCUUUCUGUAUUUCUGGGCCUGUUAUAAAUCCAAUAUCGUAGUUUCACUUGAUAUUUUAAGUUCAAGAAUAUUACAUUAUGAGAUGAAAAUCCACAUGGAACAAAAUAAGCUUCACGCCUUUUCUAUUUCCUCAAAUGCAUUAAAAACUUGGUCAAUUAUCGAAUUCAAACAAACCAAAGCCUAUGCCUCAACGUCUUUAAAUAUUAUUAUGUAUUUAAGUUACAAAUCAAAUGAAUGGAAAUAUUCAAUUUAUGGGGAAAAAAUGAAGAGUCAUUUAGAUGUAGGGUGAAUUAAUGGUAAUAGUUUUAAUAAAAAAGCAAGGACAUUGAGAACACCAAUUGAUUGCAUUAUUCCCAAAUUCCACAUUGGUUCUUUUGUCCUACAAGACUGAUGUCAUGUUUAUCUACUCAUGUACUACACUAUCCAGCAAUUUGCAGUAGCAUGCCUUGAUCUUUUCCUAUAGAAGGGUUUCCUGUUCUUAUAAAAUACCAAAAAUUGACAAAAUGAAAUUUGAGAAUGUUUUCUACGCACACCUUCUGAUGGAGCUUUGUGCUGGUCGAGAGCUUUUUCAUGGAAUUGAGAAGUUGGGGAGAUUUCCCGAGCACAAGGCACGGGUUAUUUUUAGACAAUUUAUGGAAGUGGUCAUGUAUUAUCAUGAUAAAGGUAUUUUCCACAGAGAUUUGAAACCAGAAAAUAUCCUCUUUGUCUCAAAGUCUUCAACCUCUUCUAUCAAAUUAGCAAAUUUUGGUCUCUUUUUAUCAUUUCUUAUUUUCAAUUUUAGAAUUUUGGUAGUUUCAACAAGUUCAUCUCUAUUAGCCAGUUAAAUAACUUGGUUGCCAAUGAACUUUCACGUUGGUCUCUAAACUUGGUUUAGGAUCAACUUGAUCCCCAUAUUUAAACUCUAUAUUAAGUUGACGGGAGGAGUGGUUAGCGGUUUGGGAAAAGGAAUGACUGCAUGCAGUAUUGGUCUCAUCCUUGAGGCCUAUGGACUUCGUGUUAUUUCCAUCAAAAUUAAUUAAUGUUUCUCCUCUUAUACUUGUUAUUUUCUUUCAUUGUGUAUCUCCCUCUUAGAAGAAAUAUGAAUGAAAAUAUGUGAGGGUCUAAGCUCUGUAAUCAAAUCCCCACCCCCCAAAAAAUGGUGAAUAUACUUCUACUUCUCCAUUUUUGGUUCUCACAAGAGAUUACAUAGUGUUUGAUUAUAUCCUUUUUUGUAUCUUUGGGAAAUUUUCUCAUUCUCUAUUUUUAAUUAUAUCCCUUUUGAUUUUCUAUUUUCCUCGUUUCUUUAAUAUCAUCACCUUGUUUUAUAUAUAUGUGUGUGUGUGUGUGUGUGUGUUUUCUUCGUAUGUCUCUUUCACUUUGGUAUGUAGAUCCAUACUUGAAUUUGAUGUCGGGACAAUGUUGCCUUUUGAGCAUGGAGAAGUGAACGUUUUGGAUGAUGGAGGAGAGCUUAAAAAAGCAUCCUUCAAUUAAGCUUAGUUUGCUUAGAUCUAAAUAUGUGGUUUCACUUGAAUUUAGUUUUAGUAUUGUUUUAAUUCUGUCAUUAAGCUUUGAUUCAUGGUACUAGAUUUAAUUGAGGUUACUAUCUUAUAAAGAUUGCAGCUAUUUCAUUUUUUUUUCUAUAGCAUGUAGUCUUGUCCGUGAAUUUUGGUGUGAAAUCUUGAUUGAAGCAGAGGUUGAGAGUUGAAUCUUCCUCAUACACUAAGCAAAUGAUGACUUGAUUCCAAUAUUUGAAGGUGGACCUCGACCUUGGAAAUUGUGAACAGUUUCUAGAUAUAAGAUGAACACGUGACAACAAUAUAAUUACUGUAAAAAUUUACCAGGCGAGUUGUUGGCUUGUUCUUACCAUUUUUAGAGAAAAUCUAAUCUAUUUUCGCUAUGUUGAGGUCCUUAACUAGUUGGCAGAUUUUAAUUUCAUAAAUUGUGCUUUUUUCUUGUUUUAGUCUAUUAUUUGAUAAGGAGAGAAGGGAAGAUUAUCCGGGGAAUACUGUUCGAGUUUUGGCACUAAUUUUGAACUUUUCUUUUCUGUUGUAUUGUCUAUAUUGGUGCAUAAUUUCACACUUCUUCUGUCAUUUACGUGGUACCUCACAUUAUUAAUGCUAUUCAAGAGUGAAUUCAAUGUGUUGCAAUUAUACCGGUGGAUGGAAAAGAGGGUCCAUCUGAUGCUUGUGUCAUAGAAUUGGGUGGCACUAUUAGUAUAAAAGGUGUUUCACUUGUAUUAAAAUCAAUUGUAUUUAACAUUGGUGGCUUGUAAAAAAGAUCUUUCAUUUUGCAGGCGAUAUCGAGUCAAUGCCCUUUAUUGAGGCACUGGAAUAGUUCUCAUUUCGAGUAGGUAAGAUUUUAUUUGUAAAUCUAGACUCAUAACCAUAUUUACUUAAAUUAACUUUGUCAGAGUCUGACGGUUGUUUUUCUCAUAGAUUAACAUCCUUGCGUCAAUAAUUGACCUUCUCAGGAGCUGGUAAAUAUUGCUUGAUACAUGUUAGCUUUGCGCCUGUUCUGAAUGUUGUUAGUCUGCAGGUGAGGUUUUGGGACAUGAACUUAUAGACUUUGCUUCCUUACUGUACAGUUAUUUUAAAUCCUCAAUAUAAUACAAGUACCAUGGUGUUUGCAUGGUCAGAAGAAAAAGCUGUUAGAAGGCUACUGAGCUUGGUUGGUUUGGAGUUGAACGCAAGAAACAUGUUAAGGGCCUGUUUGAUAGGCUUGGUUUUCCAUGUAAAAUGGAAAACAUUUUGCAUUUCCACCCAAAAAUGUGUCUGAUGGCAAAAAUAUUUCAUGGAAUUGGUUUUCUUGGUACAACCCAUUUUUGCACCAUUUUUCACCUUUUUAAGGAAAAUGUUUUCCCAUGUGUUUGGUGAUUUUUCGUUUUUCAGCCU